AUACGUAGGUGGCAAGCGUUACUCGGAAUCACUAGGCGUAAAGCGCAGGUAGGAGGUUUGGUAAGUCUGUUGUGAAAGCUCCUGGCUUAACUGGGAGAGGUCAACGGAAACUGCCAGGCUUGAGUGUGGUAGAGGUAGCUGGAAUUCCCGGUGUAGCGGUGAAAUGCGUAGAUAUCGGGAGGAAUACCUAUGGCGAAAGCAGGCUACUGGACCAUCACUGACUCUGAUCUGCGAAAGCUAGGGGAGCAAACAGGA
rnacentral:rRNA from 1 species